rnacentral:lncRNA from 1 species
GCAUAAAUCAACUAUUGCCUAUCACAAUUAUUUGCAUCUGGUUGGAAGAGGAGGCAUGAGCUUCGCAUCUCAGGCACUCUCAAAGAAAUAAAAAUAUCCACAGACGGACAUAUAUCUAACUGAUAAAUGGUGUGAUAUUUCAUCGUUGCUCCUGUUGAAAGUCUCAAGGCAGAGGAGAAGGAGCAAGAUAGGAGGAGAGGAAAGAAGAGGAGGAGGAACAGAGCAAACAUAUGCAUGCCUAUAAGUAAAUCUAACCAAUCAGGCAAGUUAUCCCAGCAUUCCCAAUAGACGAAAGAAAGUGAUAAACACUUAAAGUGUGGGGGAAGAAUACCUUCCUCUUUGGCUCAGUCACUCACAGUUUUGGCCAAAACACUGAUG